UACGUAGGGGGCAAGCGUUGUCCGGAAUUAUUGGGCGUAAAGCGCGUGUAGGCGGUCCGGUAAGUCGGUUGUGAAAGUCCAGGGCUCAACCCUGGGAUGCCGAUCGAUACUGCCGGACUAGAGUCCGGAAGAGGCGAGUGGAAUUCCCGGUGUAGUGGUGAAAUGCGUAGAGAUCCGGAGGAAUACCAGUGGCGAAGGCGGCUUGCUGGGUCUAGACUGACACUCAGACGCGAAAGCAUGGGGAGCGAACGGG
rnacentral:rRNA from 1 species